rnacentral:lncRNA from 1 species
AGAACCAAUUGAUAGGUAAGUAAAAGCAAAAUAAAUAAUAAGUAAGAAGGUGAGUUUGGUAUGGUGAAGCACGUCAAAGACGCUGUCCUAAAGCCUUUGUAGCCUCCCUACAUGUAAGUAUUGGCAGUCUACAAGACUCCAAGAUACGACCCCUUGUACACAAACUUAAGAUCCGCUACGAGCAUGUUCAUAAACAUAUAUAGGAAUCCAAGUCACAAA